rnacentral:rRNA from 1 species
UACGUAGGGUCCGAGCGUUGUCCGGAAUUACUGGGCGUAAAGAGCUCGUAGGUGGUUUGUCGCGUUGUUCGUGAAAACUCACAGCUUAACUGUGGGCGUGCGGGCGAUACGGGCAGACUUGAGUACUGCAGGGGAGACUGGAAUUCCUGGUGUAGCGGUGGAAUGCGCAGAUAUCAGGAGGAACACCGGUGGCGAAGGCGGGUCUCUGGGCCGAUAUUGACGCUGAGGAGCGAAAGCGUGGGGGAGCGAACAGG